UAAAGAGGUCAUUAAUGAUGACUUGCCUGUUGUAGAGAUCCUGGAAUGCUGGUCUGCCCUAAAGAUGGAGUCACAGAUCUGUGCAAAGUUUCACAGAAUUACAAACAUCAACCUGAAAAACCACUUCUAUGCUGAGUUAGACAGACUUGUCUUGAGGGUUUGUUCAGGAAGAAAGCUGCACGCACAGGGAAGGUAUCUGAAGUCCUGAAUCAGCUCUUCAACACUUAUGACCUCCAGGAACAAGUUGACGUCCAACGUGCUGCUGUCCUCCGUGCUCUCCCUACAUAUCUGUAUGAGGAUGAC